rnacentral:tRNA from 1 species
UAACGAAUAGUUUAAAGAAAACGAUAGGUUGUGGUUCUGUAGAUAGGAAAUUCUUUUCGUUAG